rnacentral:other from 1 species
AUAUUCCUGGGUAGUUCGUAACCACAUUUAUUGAACCUACAAAAUCAUACAGGGACACCUAUUAUUUGUACAUGGCUAUAAUGCCUUGCCUAUAUGGCCGGAGGACUAUAAAAGUGCACAUGCGGUAACCCACCUAGCGUUAGCUAGGGAUCAAUAAGUGGAGCGACUACCUGGGUAUUUU